CAGGAAAUUGAGAAUCUAGAAAAACAGCAGAAACAGACUAUCGAACGCCUGGAACAAGAGCACACAAAUCGCUUGCGAGAUGAAGCCAAACGCAUCAAAGGAGAACAAGAGAAAGAGUUGUCCAAAUUUCAGAAUAUGCUGAAGAACCGAAAGAAGGAGGAACAAGAGUUUGUUCAGAAACAACAGCAAGAAUUAGAUGGCUCUCUGAAAAAGAUCAUCCAGCAGCAGAAGGCAGAGUUAGCUAAUAUUGAGAGAGAGUGCCUGAAUAACAAGCAACAGCUCAUGAGAGCUCGAGAAGCUGCAAUUUGGGAGCUCGAAGAACGACACUUACAAGAAAAACACCAGCUGCUCAAACAGCAGCUUAAAGAUCAGUAUUUCAUGCAAAGACAUCAGCUACUUAAGCGCCACGAGAAGGUUAAUGAAAGGAAAAUUUCUUCAUUUUUUUGUUCGUUUUAAAGUUUGCAAAGCUAUUUAGUUUUGAAACUUAAGUUUCUUAGAUAAUGAAUUUUAGAUUUCCUUUCUGUCUUUUAUCCUACAAUUUCUUGGAUGAAGUUUGGAGUAAUUAAUUGUAUCUUGAUCAUGAUUGCAAGCUUCUUUUCUACAAAUUAUAAGGAAAGUA
rnacentral:sRNA from 1 species